ensembl:lncRNA PURPL p53 upregulated regulator of p53 levels
UGUGGUGACCUGGGAAUCAAUGUGUGAGGUGGUGCUAUGUAGCAGGAACCCCUCUUGCUUUGCAAAUAGUUUUUUGUUUGUUUUCCUUUUUGCCCAAUAGAGCCCUGCUCUACUGACCCUUCAAUGUGCCCGUGUGCCUAAAUAUUCCUGGUCGUGUGAAAAGAACCCAGGUAUUAGCUGAACUAAGGAGCACAAUUCUGCAACAUUUUGGCACCCAAACACGGGGCUUGAGAAAUGAAUGCAAUUGGAGAAACUGGUUGUUUUACCAGGCGUUGAUUGGAAAUGUGUGCUUCCCUUUAAGCAGUCAAGCUCAACUUGCAGAACUGAUGGGAACCCCUUGGGAAAACUGGCCUCAAAUGUUUGUCUACACAGUCCACAUACAGGGUUCUUAACCUGCGGUGAGUAAAGAAUGUCACUUUCCAACAGGCCCAGAUAUCAUAUGCUCUUGGGACCUCAAGAAGAGAGGAGUUUACCCAAUUCAUAGGUGUGUGAGGAUAAAAACCUAGGGCUGGGCUCAGCUUUAAAUGGUCUUAUCUGAGAUUCUUUGUGAAACAGAUUUUCAUGAAAGCCAAUCUAGAGGGCCUACGUAGAAAUAAUUGUUUUUGCUGCACUUUAUGCACAUAAUCAAGCCAAUUAUAAGACUAAAGUCUAUAUUGCAAGCAACACACUCCUAUUAUGAUUUGUUUUUAACAGAAAUGAGGACGAGACAGAGAGAAAUUAUGUUUCAAAACUUAUCAUCAUUAGUUUCUAGACUUAUUAUUUCUUUUUAAGUUUUUACCUACAUUUUAGACUGACCCUGCUUGUGCCUGUGAACCAACCAACAAUCUCUGGCUGCAGCUCAGAAAGGACAAAAGAGAAUGGGCCAUCAAACUCCAGUCUGCACCUGGAGCCUUGGAUGAUGGCCUUUUUUACUGGGAACCCUGAAAUAGGCCUCUGAGGGAAAUCUGAUUGCCAUUUUCCCAAAACAGCUUCCCUGACAAUAGGAAGCAAUUAAGAUUGGUCUUCAUCCUUAUCUUUAUCCUUAUUCUAAUGGCAGUUAGAGGUACUUCUUUAGAGGGGGGAAUGAGACAGCCAAAUGCCUAGGCAGAUAAAAAGGUGUACCUGGAAAAUUUCCAACCCGUCACACAAGUGUUUACAUCAGAUGCUUUUGUGUAGAUGAGGGAAACUUCCCAGGGCUUGUCUGGGUAUGCCCACAGUGGACUGGAGCCCAAAAUGCACACUGGAGGAAGUGGAUGGAGCCACGUGGAUGUCAUGCCUUAUGCAGGGGAGGAGCCUGCUCUCUUCAGCUCCUGUGGUAAUGUGGGAAUCGAUCUGUGAGGUGAGGACCUGUUAGCAGGAACCCCUCUUGCUUUGCUGAAAGUUUUAUUUUUCUUUUUGCCCUAUAAAACCCUGUUCUACUAACCCUUCAAUAUGUCUGCAUUCCUAAAUUUUCCUGGUCAUGUGACGAGAACCUAGGUUUUAGCUGAACUAAGGAGCAAAAUUCUGCAACAUAAAGUCAAAGAAAACUAUGCCUAUAUCCAUUAAAUCAAAUGUUAAAAAGCAAAUAUAAAGAAAAAGUCUUCACAGCCCUAGAGAAAAGUGAAACAUUGUACAUAAAGAAGUAAUAAUUUGAAUGGAUUGUCAGAAACCAUGACUAGAAGACAGAGGAGCAAUAUUUUCAAAUUUCAUAGAGAAAGGAAAAAAAGAAAAGAAGAAAAAAAAGAAGACAUAAUAAAACACCUGUCAUUUUAGUAUUCUGUACCCAUUGAACAUAACCUUCAAUAGAAUGUGAAGUAGACAUAUUCAGGUGAAUAAAAAAUCAAGAGAAUAAUAGUUAUGUUCUACAUGAAAUUAUAAAGGAAAUUUCUCAGACUAGGUGGAAAUUAUACUAGUGAGAAACAGAUUUGAAGGACUAAAGGAAGAGAUGAUAGACUGACAAAGUCAAUUUUUAAAAGCCAGAUCUAACUUCUUAUUGGCUACAAGGAAUCCACUUUUAAUAUACAAAAAUAGGUAAUAAUUAAAUUGCUAGAAAAUACAUUUCAAAUAAAGAAUCAGCACAUGUAGCUUGGAGAAGAUAUAUUAACAUAAAAAGGACUUCAAUAAAAGGAGUAUUAUGAGAAGACAUUUAUGCAGCCAAAAAACACAUGAAAAAAUGCUCACCAUCACUGGCCAUCAGAGAAAUGCAAAUCAAAACCACAAUGAGAUACCAUCUCACACCAGUUAGAAUGGCAAUCAUUAAAAAGUCAGGAAACAACAGGUGCUGGAGAGGAUGUGGAGAAAUAGGAACACUUUUACACUGUUGGUGGGACUGUAAACUAGUUCAACCAUUGUGGAAGUCAGUGUGGUGAUUCCUCAGGGAUCUAGAACUGGAAAUACCAUUUGACCCAGCCAUCCCAUUACUGGGUGUAUACCCAAAGGACUAUAAAUCAUGCUUCUAUAAAGACACAUGCACAGGUAUGUUUAUUGCGGCACUAUUCACAAUAGCAAAGACCUGGAACCAACCCAAAUGUCCAACAAUGAUAGACUGGAUUAAGAAAAUGUGGCACAUAUACACCAUGGAAUACUAUGCAGCCAUAAAAAAUGAUGAGUUCAUGUCCUUUGUAGGGACAUGGAUGAAAUUGGAAAUCAUCAUUCUCAGUAAACUAUCACAAGGACAAAAAACCAAACACCACAUAUUCUCACUCAUAGGUGGGAAUUGAACAAUGAGAUCACAUGGACACGGGAAAGGGAACAUCACACUCUGGGGACUGUUGUGGGGUGGGGGGAGAGGGGAGGGAUAGCAUUAGGAGAUAUACCUAAUGCUAAAUGAUGAGUUAAUGAGUGCAGCACACCAGCAUGGCACAUGUAUACAUAUGUAACUAACCUUUACGUUGUGCACAUGUACCCUAAAACUUAAAGUAUAAUAAUAAUAAAAUAAAAUAAAAUAAAAAUUUAUCAGAAAAACAA